GAAGCAGAAGGGCGAGACGGUGGACUUCUCUACCUGCGGGUCUCCCAACUAUUGUAUCUACUUGAUUGUCUUCUGUUAUCCAGAUCGAAAUUGUCCUAAGAAUGAGGCAACACUCGGAGGUGGCACCUACACAUGAUCCCUGUCUCUCUUAGAUGUCAAGGUCGUUUCUCUCCAUAUUGUAUACCUCUCAUAGGUUUUUUCCUGGCUUUUACUUUAUGAUGUGUAGAGAUUAAAUGGUAUCUGCUUGGAAUAUUAUUGUAUUUGGCACUAAUAAAUCAUAAAUAAUGGUAUGAGACUAUGAGUAUACUCUUACGGUUUUACUUAAUUUCUACCUCCGUUGAUAUAGCAUAUCUUCUUUGUAUUAUUUCACAGGAUUCUUUGCUAGAAGUUAAAAUAUCCUAUAUAAUAUGGAAAAGAGAUAGCUUAAAUCGGUGCAUGUGUAAUUAACUCCAUAUAUUAUUUCGAGGAAGAGUUCAAUACAUGCAUGUUCUCUCAAAUUAGGUUUCCCUUGGUGUGUAUAUAAAUGUGAUGCUUCCUUCCAUGACUAAACAUGUUGAUGUUAGGUAUGAAUGUACAGUCGAGUCAUGUUUAACAGAAUUGCUUUCUGCAUUAUCAGAUCACCUACAAUUAUUAUUCUUUAUUACAGUCUCAUACUAAAGUAGUCUGAUUAGUCAUAGUAAUUCAUAAAUAUUUCCAGUAUAUAUAGUUCUUAUUCGGUUAGUAGGACUUUUUUCCAAUUGUGAUGUUUGAAACAUUUUCUUAUACUGAUAAUGAUCUAGAAUAAAACAGACCAAUGAUAACUGGUAUGUAGCUUUUGAAGCCACUGAUAUAUACAAAAUAUUAUUUGAGUACAACAGGAGAGAUGCAAUCUUAUGGAUAUUUCCACAUUUGUAAGAAACAUUCAGCUUGGCAAGCGGACUUGACUAGCCAUGUGUAGGACUCAGCCCUGCUGACUUCAAAAUGAUUAGUCAUUGGUGUUUUCUUAAGUACCUGUUAGCCCAAGUGCAUCAGUUAAGUAGAGUGUUAUGUUGAAAAAAGGAAAGAGACUACUCUUUUGUUACUUGCAGUACAGGUACAUGCUAUAACAUAUUACCUUUAUGCUCUCUUUGGAUUUCAGUAUAUGCAUGUGAACAAAUAAGUCACUAAUAUCAAUGCCCAAGAAUUAUUUGUUUGCUAUUCUAAUCGUUCCAGCAGAGAGCAAUGGAUAUAGAAGAAAUAUGUGAACGGUUGUUACAGAGAUUGAACUCUAUAGAUAGCAGCUCUCAUUGGGUGACUGAAUUAGACUCUGACAUGAAUUAUCAUAUUUUCUGGUUCUCUGCUCUAAUCUAAGCUCUAAGACUACAUGAACUACCAUAUAUUCUAAUUUGUUUGGCUACACUACACCGUUCUAACUUGCUGGCUAUGAGCAUCAGAUGUGUUAGACAAAAAAUCAUUGUUAAAUGAAUAAUAGUGCCAAAUGAGAUUCACUAAUCAAACACCAUCGAUGAAGUCACAUUUAUGCGUAGCGAGCCAUGCUUCCUAUCUGUUCUAUGUUAUGUUUCUGAAUAUGUAUCCACGUCAACUGGUCUAAAGUUGCGUAUCUAGAUGAGUUGCAUUUUGUUUAUUUACUAAAAUAUAGCUAUUAUGGGAUUAUUUGGUUAUCAGCUUUAUGAACAAGCAUCCAGUAUAUGCUGCGAGGAGUGACAAUGCAAGACCAGCGCUGUUUUCAUGCACAUUUGCAUAUAGUUUCAGUCAAUAUGAUAGUAAACUUUCUCUCAACGACUCUGACCUUACAAAAUAUUAGGUAUCCUUAGUUCCAAAUAUGGUUUUAAAGGUUCUAAAAUUAUUUCUUUGAUGCCAGGUGCCAUGCUGUGGAGAACAUCUAGCCGCCAUUUACACUUAAUUUCCUCCAUGUUUCGAUCAAGUGCCUCCACUCCUCACCACCUCUUUAUCUAUCAUGGUAGCAGCAAUGGAGGUCUCCAAGGCCACUUCCUCUUUUGGUUUGGCAACCCGCCAGCCCUCCAAAGAGAUUCUUGAGACAUGGCGGUGCCAAUGAGGUGUGCUUCGAUGUGGAUAGCACUGUGUGCUUGGAUGAGGGUAUUGAUGAGCUUGCUGAUUUCUGUGGGGCUGGGCAGGCGGUUGCCGAGUGGACGACAAAGCAAUUGUCACAGUUUCUGGAAUGUGUUAGUUGUUUAGCAUAUAAUAUCUUCCGAAAAACUACUUGGCCUUAUUAUUCUCAGGGCGAUGACAGGGACCGUUCCAUUUGAUGAGGCUCUUGUUGCCUGGAUCUCUUUAAGUAAGCCAUCUUUGUCCCAAGUUGAGGACCGUUUGGAGAAGAGACCACCCAGGAUUUCUCAAUGUUGAUUUUAUUAAGACAUUAAAAGCCAAUAAUACUGAAGUAUUCCUUGUGUCCGGAGGUUUCCGGUAAAUGAUCAAGGUGUAUCUUCACUAAACGGCUGCACGAACGAUCAACAUCUGUGUGCGCCGCUGUUUGAGAGGGACAAAAAAGAGGUUGAUUUGAUAUGGAAGAGCAAGGGAGGCCGGAAGAAUUGUGCACUUCUAUCCUUUCUACUAGCGCAUCAUAGCAUCUGAUUUUUACCCACGUCAUUGGGACCGGCACCCUCACGCCAAGGCAUGAUCACGAUGUAGUGGGAGAAGAUCUGUGGGCUUUUUGUAAUUUACCCAUAGGUUUAACAUUUACCUUUAUUAUAUCAACACCAUCAUAUGCUUCUUAGUUAAAUUUUUGAAAUGUUUAAAUUCAAAUUUAUUGAAAUUUGUUAGGUGUGACAACAUUUUGCAUGCAUAAAAGUAGCCCUAACAAACUAUGUUAUGCCUAA